rnacentral:rRNA from 1 species
UACGAAGGGUGCAAGCGUUACUCGGAAUUACUGGGCGUAAAGCGUGCGUAGGUGGUUCGUUAAGUCUGUCGUGAAAGCCCCGGGCUCAACCUGGGAAUGGCGAUGGAUACUGGCGGGCUAGAGUGCGGUAGAGGAGAGUGGAAUUCCACGUGUAGCAGUGAAAUGCGUAGAUAUCUGGAGGAACACCGGUGGCGAAGGCGCGAUUCUGGUCCGUUAC